UUGAGCUUCGGAUAUAAAGUUCCAUGCAUGGUGUUCUGGGUACUCAUUUGUGUGCCUCAGUGCUCAGGGUCUAAGAAUCAAAUGUCACGCAUCAAGCUGGGAUUGUGGGAGGCUCAAGAUGAUUUCCAGCAUGUACUGUAUUGCAAAUAUUUUCUAAUUCAGCGUUUGUGUCCAUCAUUAACUUUGGACACCACAAUAUGUUUUGGUGGGAAUUGGCAGCAUCCGUCCCAGUCAGAAGAAAACUGAAUUGGGUGAACAUGCUCAGUGUGGCCUAUAAAUGGCUGCACUCUCAGUGUUUUCUGAGCUCUUCUGUACUCCUCUUUCAGUUGUAGAGCUUUUCUGGAUACUUUCACGGGAGCUAGUGAUCAGUAUCGAGAGUACUGUUGAGCAAGGUGUAGAGCUCUUCGAUGUGAUUUCUGUGGUCUCUCUUUCUCUCACAAGUGCUACAACACAUUAAUGAGCUAGAAGUAAAAGACGUGUAACACAUCCAGUGGGAUAGUUGUAGUGAGACAAAAUCCUGUGAGCCGCUGGAGAUGAUUCCAAAAAGAUUCAGUAGUAACAGAAAAUUAUGACAACUCUUAGUUGUUAAUGAAAUAAGCAUAAGCACAAUGAAACAGCCUACUGUUUUCUGCAACAGACUUAUUGGGCAUGAGUGAGGGCCCCACUGCCAAGUCAUCUGGCUGCCUUGAGAGUUUCGUCUGGCUGUUGAUCAAGAAAUAUGGCGUUGGCACCAUGAUUGAGCAACUUUGUGAGGUCUGUUUAAGAAUAAUGAAGACAUAAUACAGACUCUGGACAUUAUUUAUGAGCAAUUAAGGGGAAGAACUGAAAACCUGCACUCAGAACACAGAGUUGGCAUUGGGCUUCUGAGUGGCUCAGCUGGUACAGGUGCUGGUGUGAGCACAGGGUGAGCUCAGUGCUCCAGGUGUUGUGGGUUUGAGUCUGGUCAUGUCUGGUUCCCCGAGGGGGGGGGUGAACCAGCCAGAUUUUUCUUGGUGCCGGGUGACAUGGCGAGCCCCGAGGCAUCAUGGACCGUUGCAGGCGUGUGGAGAAGCCGGUGAAGGACAUGCCCCUAGCACAGCUGGCGCUGAAAAUCUGUGACGCGAUGAAAGAAGAGUGGCUUGAAGCUGGGCGAGGCAGAGACAUCUGCCUACACUUCCCCAUAGCCCUCCCCUUAGUGAGAGUCUGCAGGAUUUGGAUUUGAUGCUGUGGGGAUGUGAGCAAUACACAACUGGCGAUCCCCAGUUGGGUGGGUGCUUAGCAAAAUAUUUGUUUUACAAUUCAGUCGCUAAAAAGAGCUUAGCGCACCCUGGGAAGCCUUGUGCCACACGGUAUGGCCUGUGAGCGGACAGCGGACGAGGCUGGCGUGGACGAGGAAGGGAUGGGAACAGGCCCUGAAGGGAGUGCGCGGGGUAUUCAGCCCAUCGAGAAUGUCUUCGUGUCUCCUGUCAGUUCAGUUAUCUGUGUGGUGAGGCAUUUGAAAUGGCAGCUGGAUAUUGUCUUUGCAUACUUCUGUGAAAAGGAACGGGAAGGGAUAAGUGGUUUCUUAAAGAUGGCCUGUUAAGGUAACCAGAUCGUUUCAUUCUUCAACCUUCUUGAAAACAGGAGUCAUCGAGUACAGAAUGCGUGUGUUGCAAAAAAAAAAAAUCUAACUUCCCUCUAAAAGAAAAAAGGCAGUUUGAUCAUGCCUGAGAUGAAUUUCCAUCCAUUACCCUCCUCCUCUCUCACCUGAUUCCUGUUCAGCUCCUUUCCAAUCCCAUUAUGUUCUCUGUAGCAGUUAAGCCCUCUGAACUGAGAUGCUGCCGUUCCAUAUCAGCUGCAGUAAUAAUAUGUAAUGAGAUUAUGAUGUUGAAUGUUUUAAAUGGAACCCAGUCACAUCCACGGCUGGAUUAGCCUCAGAACUGGCACACAAAGAACAGGAAUUGUAGCACAUCCUAAACAGCAAAGAAUUUAAGCUGCUGAAUCCACAAUGAGACCUCUUGACAUUCAGUUCUGUUCGUGAUGGUUUUACAUAUAGAGGUAAGAGCCUAUCAGGAAUGUGGCAGUGAGAUAAUUCUAAGUCCCUUUGUAGAACUGCAAGAUUGCCUGGCAGCUUCCCAAACAGUUCCGGCCUCGACAUUUUAUUUUUAUUUUCCCUCUAAUAUCUGUAAAGCAAGAGCCCUGGAAGAAAGUACUUUUAACUGCACCAGUCUCCUUCCUGUCUUUCCCAUUGCUGGCAAUCGGUGUCAUGCCAGGGAGUUUGCAUUCAGUUCUGUCCGCUUGUUAGAAUUGUUCCAGAAGAGUAAGAGCUGCUCACAGGUCAGGUAAGAUAAUUACCUUCCAACGAAGAAGGAGAGGACAGUUUUUGAUCAGCUUCCCCCUGGUGUGAAGUUUACAAACCAAUCUUGUUGCACAGUAUAUUCAUCACGGACAACCCUUCUACAGCCUGGGCGUGCAAUAUAGAAGAUGAGGAGUAAGUCUUUGUGCUGAGCUCCUUACAUUCACAACUUUAGUGGUUUUAUGAACAGUCAAAAUGUCUGUGGUUUUCUCUGCCUUUGGAGGGCACUGUAUACUUUUAGGUGCAACACUGACUUCUUUGCUUGUUUUUGUUUUAACCAAUUUCACAUGCUACUUCUGGGCUUGUCUAUUUAAUUAGAUACCAUAGCAACGAGAGUAGAGAUCUGUAGAAGCCAAACACCCUAAUGUGUUUAUGCUGUCUUGGAGGGUGUGGCAGGUGUAUGGAUCCCUCAGAGAAAGUGUCUUAAACCGAUAGGGUUGAACCUCUGAAAAUUAUUUUAUUUCAGCCAAGCUUCUUAAAAUGUGUUCUUUGCAAUGUGGUAUCCUUUCGGCCUCCUCUGAAACUGUUAAAAACAGAGUUAUUACAACUCUCAGUUCUCGAGCCUAAAUUUUUGGUAUAUCCUGCCAAAUAAGAAAGCUUUUCUUAACCUAUCAGUUCCUUCAGGCCAGUUUUUAUUUAUGUCUACUCAGAUGACUCCCAGACAGCCGAAUUUUCACUUGGCUGUUUCCCUGCCACAAGACUGUACAGGUUGCCUUGGAAACCCAGGCAGUGCCAAGUGAAUAAAAAAUAGCCACCUACUUUCAGCCCCUUUCCUUGCCAGAGAAUUUGCUAUUUGAGCCUUUGAAUUCUGCCUGAAGGCAACAACCCAGCGGCAGGUAAUCCUUGUCUCCCAGUUUCCUCCCUGAAGCACUGAGCAGACGAGGACGAUGACACCCUCUCCUGAUAGACUACUCUCAGGGAUGGAGAGAUUGCUGUGAAGGGUGGCUGCCCGAAUUGCACUUCUCUGUUGAAGGUACUGGAUGAAAACGGAAGGAGUGCUUCUCUUUAUGCAGCAGAUGCCCUGCCUAGUGCCCAGUGUGAGACUGGGGUUCCCCUCCAUGCCUAGAGUAAGGCAAGUGUGCUCCUCAGGUCUGCAGGCUGGCCUGAACAGAGAGAGCGGGAUGAUCAGUGCCCAGACGCUUUCAAGCUACUGCCUGUCUCAGCACUCAAGCUGGAGCUGUCCAUUUCUGAUAUCUAAGAGAUAACACCACCAAUUCUGGAGACUUGACAGGGAGGAAAGUAAAAUCUCUCUAGGUGUCUCAUCUUUCUAUUGUUUGAGGUUUUGUGAUUAAAAAAAAAAUCUGACUUAUAAAUGUGGGUUUGUCCUGGUAUAACUUAACACCGUGCAAUAUGAUCAUGGUCUAAAACGUUCCCGAGUGCGGUAGAUAUGGAGGGCAGCUCUAGAGUCUAAGGUUGUACAAAAAAACGAGAUGGGAACUGUUUCUUAACCCCUCCCCUAUGUAACUGGUGAACGACACAAAUUUUCUUAUUACUUCCAAUUGUUUUUAGAGGUGACAGCCAUAAGUUCCCAUAAGUGAUAUCUGAAAGUAAAAAUGAUGCAAGCUUGUACUGUUUUAUUAAAUAAAUAAUACGUUUUGUC